rnacentral:ncRNA from 1 species
UUAAGUAGAGGUUGCGUUUGUUUAAGAGUAGGUUGUGAUUUGUGGCAGGCACAGAUAAUUGCAGGUGAAAGGGAACGACGCCGAAGCGGCAGAUUGCCUGAAAGUCUGCAUGCUGGGCAUAUGGUGAAGAAUCAUGUGACUGUCAUCGUAAGAUGGGGAGCUACUUGAA